UCGUCCACCUGCUGUGGGCAAAUGAAGUGGAUAUGCGAAUCGACACCACCGGCGGUGACGAUCUUGCCCUCGGCCGCGAUCACCUCGGUCCCUGGCCCGACCGGCACGUUCACGCCCGGCUGCACAUCGGGGUUGCCGGCCUUGCCGAUCACCGCGAUGCGUCCAUGCUUGAUGCCGAUGUCGGCCUUGACGAUGCCCCAGUGGUCGAUGAUCAGCGCAUUGGUCAACACCAGGUCCAUGGCCUCGGCCGCCAGCAUCUGGCCCUGCCCCAUGCCAUCGCGA
rfam:Pseudomonas putida KT2440 complete genome.